CUCAUGAUUUUGUAGAGUAUACAAGAAGAAUGGCACCAGCAUCUGCUUCUGGUGAGGGCCUCCGGCUCCUUCCACUCAUGGUGGAAGGCAAAGGGGAGCUGUUGUUUGCAGAGAUCACAAAGUGAGAGAGGAAGCAAUAGAGAGGGGGACAUACGAGGCUCUUUUCAACAACCAGUUCUCUUGGGAACUAACAGAGUGAGAACUUAUUCAUUCUCUCCACUCCAGAGCAUUAAUCUAUUCAGAGGGAUCUGCCUCCAUGACCCAAGCACCUCCCAUUCAACCCUAAUUCUGACACUGGGGAUCACAUUUCAACAUGAGAUUUGAAGGGGACAAACAUUCAAACUAUAGCACUUGGGAUUCCAGGCUACUGGACAGUUUCUGAGAUAAUAAUACAAUUAUCUUUUUUCUCUACUUUUACCCCUAGCCCCUCAAGUUGCCCAGAUUAAAAAAAUAUUCUGGAGCUGCCAUACCAUGUUGAUUACCACCCAUAAUUUGAUUUAGAGAACCUAGGCUCACUUAAAAUGACCACCUUUGGUUAAUAAUAAAAAUACUAGAUAAAAUUCACUGAACAUUUAUCAUGCUCUAGGAACAUUAUGUACAUAUUAUUACUUAAUCCUCCCCUUGUGAGACAGUUGAAUCUUGUGAGAAAUUAUUACAGAGAGGAGACAGAGGCUCAGACACAUGCUCAAGAUCACGUAUACAGUAAAUGAAGAACCUGGGAUGUAAUCGUCCUCUAAUUUAAGAGAAUGAAUUUUAAUUCCUGCAUACUACCUCUUGUUACCUUCCUUUUCCUACUUCUUGUUAUCUUAUCUCUUUCUUUUAUUUUUUGCCCAAAAUUAAAACAGAGGAAUUACUUCUAUUGAGUUAAAAGAAGUGUUACAGAUUAUCAUGAGAUCUAGAAUCUAAAUCCUUUUAUUAAUCUUUUUUAGAUUAAUUUUAUUGAAUAUAAAUUACAUGAAAUAAUAUAUCACAUUUUAAGCAUAACAGUCAAGCUGUUUUUGAAAAAUGUAUAUGUAGCAGGAUGAGCCACAGACAAAACCUCUCAGACACCAAGUUGUAGAAGGAAGGGCUUUAUUCAGCUGGGAGCAUCGGCACACUACUGCCUUAAAAUCCAAGCUCCCCAAGUGCACAAUUUCUGUCCCUUUUAAGGGCUCACAACACUAAAGAUUUCACAUGAAAGGGUUGUGAUUGAUUUGAGCAAGCAGGAGGUAUGUGACAGGGGCUGCAUGCACCAGUGGUCAGAGAGAAACAGAACAGGGCAGGGAGUUUCACAGUGUUCUUCUAUACAAUGUCUGGAAUCUAUGAAUAACAUCAGUUUCUAAGUUAUGAGUUGAUUUUUAACUACUGGGUUUAGGCCAGGCAGGCCCAGACCUGGUUUCGGGCCUGGCGUCAGGCUGCCUGUCUUUGGUUUUACUUCCUUGUUGUUUUUUCUUAAAACAGGUACUGAGUAUAAAACAAUAUAAAACAGUACGAGAGGGUCUCUCUCUUCCCUCAUUUACAUCUGUGUAACCACUAUCCUAAUCAACAUAUAGAAUAUUUUAUCACCUUUUAAGUUCCUAUGUGACUUACUGUUGUCAAUGUCCUUCUUCCAUUCCCAAUACCUGGAAACUACUGAUCUGAUUUUUGUCACCAUCGAUCAGAUUUGCUUUUUUCUAAAAUUUCGUAUGUAUACAAUUAUAUGGUAGGUAUUCUUUUGUGUCUAGCUUAUUUCUUUCAGAAUAAUGCUUUAAAAUUUAUCCAUAUUGGUGAAAGAAUCAGUACUUUAUUUCUUUUGGUUGCUAAGUACUAUUCAGUUUUAUGACUUGUGAUAUUAUGAAGUAUAUAUUCAAUCUUUGACCCCUUUUCCUGACAUACGACUCCUAAAAUACUUAGAAACUCUGAAGCGAUGUCUUAUCUUUGUUAAUGAUUGACUGAACGGAUGGCUGGCAGCCCCUGGGUAACUUCAGGAUGGGGGAUGGGAGAGACAAAGGCAUGAUUAGAGAGUUGGGACUUUCAGCUCCAUCCCCAAUAUCUGGGAAGGGGAGAGAGUCUGAAGGUUGACUACCAAUGGCCAAUGAUUUAAUCAAUUAUGCCUGUUUAAUGAAUCUUCCAUAAAAACCUAAAAGGACUAGGUUCAGAGAGCUUCCAGAUAGCUGAACACAUGGAGGUUCCUUGAGAGCGGUGUGCCCCAAGACAGUGAGGACGCUCUGCACCCCUUUCCCCCAUACCUUGCCCUUUGCAUCUCUUCAUCCUUAUGCUUUGUAAUAUAUGUAUGCCUUUAUAAUAAACUAGUAAAUGUAAGUAAGUGUUUCUCUGAGUUCUAUGAGAUGUUCUAGCAAAUUAAUUAUUAAUUGAACUCAAAUGGGGGGUCAUGGGAAUCUCAAUCUGGAAAGAAAAAUAAAAUCUGAAAACCACAAAGUUAUUAUGCCAAGGGGAAAAUUAAGGUUGGAAACGGAGUCACACAAAACACUGCCUUCCUUCUGUUCCCAAACAGGUAACUCUAAUUUCACAUGCUUACUCUAUCGUAUGUAAAAUGUAGAUUUACUGAGGAUGAGAUGAAUGCUUAAUUGAUUUUUUCCUCUACUCUCUUUUUUUCACACACAAAAUGUGGAUUCAUUGAGUGUUAAUCAAAGCCUUAUAAGAAUGUAACCACUUGUCUCAUUGCCUACUGUCCCUCCUUUUUUCCCCUUUCCCUCCUGCUUGCUCUUACACCUUAAAUAGUUAAGUUUCCAAAACCCUCUUUGGAAAAACACAGGUCAAGGAUCCUACUGUGACUUAUGUUUCUAUUUCCCAGGCAUAUCCUCGACUGGCAAAAUAAACCUCUAAUCAAUAGAGAUCUGCCUCAGUCACUUUUUGGCUUACAUGUUGGUGACCACGAAGGGACUCUGAGUGGAGUCUGGCUCUUGGCCUCCAGCAGGUCUCCUAUUGGGGCCCUGGUACCGGCUGGAGCUCUUUAUUACUCUUACAGAUUGGAUGAUUUGCUAUGUAAGUUCUGGGAACUUCUCCCUCCAGAGAUCCCUGAUCUCCCCCAAAUUUUCAAUUGGGAUCUGAGGUUUAUUCUGCUGUAAAACUCCUUUUCUGGUAGUUUCUGCUUCCAUGAUGGCAGACAGCAGUCUUCAGCUUGGGUCCAUCUCCAGUUUUGGUCCACCUUCUGUUAGACUUUACCAACUCCUGGCCCCCUCUAAUGUUGAAUGAAACUCUGCAGCUGGAGAAAGUCAAUUUUCACUUCUAAAAACCCUGGCUGGGUAAGAAAGGUCAACAAUUUGACUACCUGAGAAGUUUCAUUUACACAACAAGACCCUUUUCCCAUCCUUUCUUUCGGUGCAAUUAAUUUAAAGAUUUUAGGGAUCUCUUAUUCUAAACAAUUAACAAAGAGAUCACAUUUAAAAAGGACAUAUAAUAGUGUCAUGGCCAGCCUUAAAAAUUCUCUUGACUAAAUUAAGAGUGAAAAAUCUGACCUAAACCAGUUCUGGUAGGUAAAAUUCCUGCAGAGGCUUGGGUUUGCUUUCUGGUCAAGGAAAAACAAAGGCCACUCCACCUGUGGCCCAAUAGUUAAAAUUCUGCACUUUCACAUCCACAGGCUUUUUGUUUCCUGUCUUUUUUCAUCUGUUGGGGGCACAUGAGGCUUUGGGGCCUUUGUGUGCAUAUGGUCAGCUGAGAAGUAAUAUCAUCAGGAAGACGGGUGCUUCACCAUGCUUCUGCCUGUACCAGUGUACAGAAUAUAAAGCCUUGGAGGAACUGCAGUUGAUGACAGCAUCUUCCCCUUCUCGGAGGAUCACGGCUUGAGGACUCUGCACUGGUUGUUGGCUUCUCACCCCUGAUCAGAAAGACAAUCGAAUGAGAUGCUCAAUCUCGUGAAGGGAAGGGUGAUUUUCUCUCUUCCUUCCUUAUUUAAAACAUUAAGCAUCACCACAUAAUUACGGUACAUUUUCCUCACUUCUUAGGUCUGGUUCUUAAAAGGGCCCUUCCCAAGACAGAAAGCUAUUGUCAUUAAGAUGCUGUCAUAUCACAACCUCUCCCAGACUGAAUCGUGUACUCACAGGUCAACUGCCACAACAAGGUGCCUGAAAGCACUUUCAGGAGAGUCUCCAUCCUUGGCCUGCCAGAAUAUCCAGUCAGCUUCUGAAUGGGCUUCCUUAACAGGAGUUGCUUUGAACUCAGAAUGAGGCCUGUUGCAAUUGCUUCCAGGAUAUUGCAACUUUGGGGGCAACCAAUCAGAGACACAUCACAACAGUUUAACUGCAGAGAACUAAAUGCAUCUACCUAGAAUACUUUUUAAACAGCUCUCCCCUGUGGCCAGACUGAGGAAUGUUGAUUAAACUGUGGAUUUUGGCUUUUCUUGAGUAAGUUUUCAUACAGGAUAGGUUUUUUUCUUGCUAUAAGAAGGGCCUAUCAAUAUACUGUGUUACAGAAAGAAUUACUCCAGAAUUAAGAGAAAAAAGAAGUAUCAAGGGAAAAUGUAUUAUAUGUAUUUUACUACAUAUAUAUAUUUUAUAUACAUGCCCACACAUGGAUAUAAUAUAUAAGUAUGUGAACUCAUAGUAAUCUUUCAAACAGUGACAUUUCAUUAUAUUAUUUACUUGUGCAGAUUUCUUUCACUGCUCAUCAUUGUCUUCAAGAUAAUGUAAUGUACAAACAUCUUAUAAUGGCUUUUAAUUAUUUUCACAAAGUGGUUUCUGCUUAUUGCUUUAGUUUUAUAUUUACUGACAUACAUUUUGAGUUGUAUGCUCUGGCCAUCCUGAAUUAGUUUAAUGUCAUUCUCUUAACCUAAAUAUUGACUUCAUGUCUUUGUACAUUCUAUUUAUCUUUUUCUGUAAUACCCUGUCUCUGACUCCAUUUUUGGCUAACUGUUUUACAGAUCUUAACCUAGAUACUACUUCCCGUAGGCAGCUUUCCCUUACAUUUAAGUUUCCAAAUUAAAUGCCACUGUUAGGUGGUUAUAUUCUACGCUUCUCCUAUGAUAGCUUUUAUUAUACUAUAUUGUAAUACACUCUGCAAUAUUACAUGCUCCCUGAAGGCAGAAACAAUGCCUUAUUCUUCUCAUUUGCAUCUAUUGUUUUCAAGUCUAAGACACAUAUUAGGUAUCAAAUGAAUAACCUUAUUAAGUGAAAUCUCAAGUAAAUAGAAAACAUAUUUGGUAACCUCACAAAUAUUAUGGUUACUCAUUUAUAAAACUGAGAAUUAAGGUACAACUGCUUUGCAGUGGUGGUUUGAACAUUUUAUGACAUACAUAAUUUUAAUUAUAGCAUAAUUCUGGCUUUUAGUCCUCAGGUUCAUUGUGUUCUGUGUCACCUUGUACAUGCUGUUUCUAUCUUUAAGAUCACUUUUACUACCUUCUCUGUCUUUCAACUUGAUUGACUCCUACUAAAUCUUUAGGUCUCAGCAUAGGCAAGACAUACUACAGGCUGCCCCUGACUCACCUCUAAGGCUAAGAUGGGGGUGGGACUUUCCAUAUGCCUUCAUACCUCCCUUUGCUUUCCCAAGGUUGGCCUCAUUUCACUUUACUCUGUCUGAUUAGCUGCCUACAUAACUAACUAGACUACAAUUUAGUCAAAGAAGAUAUGUAUUUUUCCAUAGCUCUUUUUUUCCCAGCAUGUAACAUUUAUGCAGAACUCAGCAGGCAACCAGUUAACAAUUGCUAAUUGAUAAAAUGAAUAAAACUUGAGACCGAUGUUAGCUGGAAAUCAUUGCCCUUGCAUUACAGAUGAAGGUCCUGAUAUAAAAUGUUAAGAAGUUGAUUCACUUGCUCAAGAAGACACAACACACUUAUGGCUAGAACAAUGCUAGAAAGUAUGUUUUCCCAAUGCUGUUUCCCAAAUAUAUUAGAUAAGAAAAGAACGUAAAUAGAUAACUGUGGGAAUGAAUGAAAUGUGAAAGUUGAAGCAGUCUGAAGAGCUUGAACAAAAAGACAGGGAUGAGAUUGAAUGUAGUAUUCCUUUUUCUGGUAUGAUUCUACGUUGCUUUAGAAGGAUAAAGACAGCAUUAAUAUAUUCCCUCCCCAUUAUGCAAGACAUGAAAUGGGGUAAAUGUAACAGCAGUUAGAGUGAAAAAUGUCCAUUGUAACAGAACUUUAUAAUGGGUUUCAGUAAUUUAUAAAUCAUGUUAAAUAUAUCUGAAAAGAAGAAAAGCUGAUUUAUUGUCUUAAGGUAUUUGAAAUAGUUUUGUUAAGAGCAGGGAUAUAUAGUAACUGGACUGAUUAUUCAGCUGAAUUUCCACAUUUUUUGAAACUGAAAUGAAAUGAUUCAUCGUAGCUACAUUUCUCUACACCCUGCUAGAAGACAGCAACAACUCUCGCGUGUCUGCCCUUUUGCUGGGAUCUGUGGCUACAGCUUUGAAUUUGGGAACAGGCUCUGGAUGCCUGUGAGCAAAGAGUAUGCACAGCAGACUCUCUGCUCAGAGUAGCUGAGGCUCUAGAGUAGGAGCCCGAGAUGUGCAUGGAAUACCCUAAGUAUGAAGAGUGAUGCUUAAUAUUCCUUCCUGCUUUUCAUUCUCAUUUACGUGCAUUACGAAAAGGAUCUUGGAAUUUUUCCUGCCUAUACCAAUGUAAGCCAUAAAAAGAACAGAAAAAAUACUGCAUGUGAUAUUGGUGCUCCUGGAUAUGGAGGGAUAAUAAAUCUAAUUCACACUGAGUUAGCUUUACAUCCAUGUUCAGGAAUAUAGAAUUAAAUAUGAGAGAAUUGAUCAACCUACAGAUUUUACCUUAUAGUUAAACCAACCCCACAAGGAUCCCUAGAUGAACAAAGCUAAGCCAACCUAUAUAUCACCCCUAUUCUGAUAAAAAAUGUCUUCAGCAUUCCUGAAAUCACUGUUCCUGAAGUCACUGUUCAGAUUAUGCCAUAAGUAAUGGGAUUUACAGAGGCUUCCGCAUGCUUCUUGGGAAGUAUCCUGAAUUUCUGUAUCUUCUCUCUGUAAAGAUCUUCAGCUUCAGAAAAUCAGCCUGUGAGGAACAAGCUCUAAUCAUUUAUCUACAAAUACAAUAUACAUAUAAAACCAUAAUUUCAGCUUUUAAUUCUCUAUGAGUGAUAAUCUCACUCUUCUAUAGGUCAAUGAUGAAGACAUGUAUGAUAAGAAUUUUAAAGAUUGCUAGCUGUUCAAAAGCAUGACUUGUUAAUAGCUUCUGUAGGAAGGGCCCAUACUUGGUGGUUUGGGGCAUGAGUGACCAUGAACUCUCUUUUCUCACAAAGUUAGUGAUACUGAACAAAUCCCUGAACUCCCACAGCCUGUUUUCUCUACUAAAAUAUGGAUUAUUCUAAUAGUUGUCUUAAAUAAUUAUUAGAAGAAUUAAUGUAAUACAUGCAAAACAGGUGGAAUAAUAGAAGUUCAACAUAAUCUAGACAUUAUUACCAUUACACAACAGUGUGCUCUAAGUGAUAAAAUUCUUUCUCAUGGAGCUACAAGUAACAAUUCUGAUACCACUAUACAUGUUUAAUGGAAUUGGACUAUGAUGUAAAUGAAUAGUGGGUGGUAAUGACAAAAAUUCUUUGCUUGACCAAACUUUAGUCAGGCUUUUGAAGUUUCUCCUAAGCUCAUCUGUACAUUUUCUUGUAAAAUGUAGUUUUAACAAGAAUCCUUCUAAGUCAGUUUAGCAAGAACCACACCCUCCCCUGCUGCCCUCGUCAUCCUCCGCUUGAUAUCUGAUUACACUCCAUAUCCAACUGGGCUCCUCAUCCUCUAUCAUCCCCCAGGGGAUUGAUGUCUGAUCACCCUGACCUGUCUUCUGCAAGGAUCCUGUUUGGCUGGUCUAGCCAGACUAUCCCUUGGUUCUAAUGUUUCCUCUUAGUAAUUUCCUAUCCACUGACCCCUAAUCUGCCCCUUGGCUAGAAAUCUCCACUUGUCUAUGCUGUAUUCGGAGUUGAAUCCAAUUCUUCUCCCUCACUGCAAAAUCCUGUUGCAGUGGUCUCUGUACCUAUCAUGAUGGUCCUAAAUAAAUUCUGCCUCACCGUGUUUUAACAAGUAUUACUGAAUAACUUUUUGUUAACAGUGAGAGCCAGGCUGUGCACCCCUGUAGUGGGAAUUUAUGGAUAAGUAAGGGGAGGAGGCUAGUGUGAUCCACGUGGUAAUGAUUUAGCAUUGGAGACAUUGCUAAGAACGAAUGUUUAACUUAAUAUAGAUACAGAUGGUUAUGCUACAUAUAGAAAUAUUUAUAGAUAUGCAGAUAUACAUAAGUUAGUAUUCACACAUGCAAUUCUUUGCUCAGAAAUGCCUGUACACUGAGAAAAACUAAAAGAAAAGACAUCUCAGGAAAUGUUCAUCACUGGAAGAACCUGCAGUAGGACCUUGGUUUUCCCAUUCCAAACACACAUCCUUGCCCCCUAGUAUACAAGGGAGACAGGGCACCCGCAUUCCAGAAGCUAGCAGAAACAAAGCAUCACUAGAGAUUUAUGCUUUAGCUAAAUCAGCAACCUCUUUCUGAAAGUAGAAAAGGAGAGUGGUUAGACUCUUAAACACUCUAAAACUCAGGGAACUUUCUUAACUUAUUUGUAAGGUUUUGUCAUGUAUCAGUCUUUCUUUAGGCUCAACUUGCCUCACCUACUUCAAAG
rnacentral:lncRNA from 10 species